rnacentral:rRNA from 1 species
UACGUAGGUGGCAAGCGUUAUCCGGAAUUAUUGGGCGUAAAGCGCGCGUAGGCGGUUUUUUAAGUCUGAUGUGAAAGCCCACGGCUCAACCGUGGAGGGUCAUUGGAAACUGGAAAACUUGAGUGCAGAAGAGGAAAGUGGAACUCCAUGUGUAGCGGUGAAAUGCGCAGAGAUAUGGAGGAACACCAGUGGCGAAGGCGACUUUCUGGUCUGUAACUGACGCUGAUGUGCGAAAGCGUGGGGAUCA